rnacentral:rRNA from 1 species
UGUAGAGAUACGGGGGUGCCUUCGGGAACUGUGAGACAGGUGCUGCAUGGCUGUCGUCAGCUCGUGUUGUGAAAUGUUGGGUUAAGUCCCGCAACGAGCGCAACCCUUAUCCUUUGUUGCCAGCGGUCCGGCCGGGAACUCAAAGGAGACUGCCAGUGAUAAACUGGAGGAAGGUGGGGAUGACGUCAAGUCAUCAUGGCCCUUACGACCAGGGCUACACACGUGCUACAAUGGCGCAUACAAAGAGAAGCGACCUCGCGAGAGCAAGCGGACCUCAUAAAGUGCGUCGUAGUCCGGAUUGGAGUCUGCAACUCGACUCCAUGAAGUCGGAAUCGCUAGUAAUCGUGGAUCAGAAUGCCACGGUGAAUACGUUCCCGGGCCUUGUACACACCGCCCGUCACACCAUGGGAGUGGGUUGCAAAAGAAGUAGGUAGCUUAACCUUCGGGAGGGCGCUUACCACUUUGUGAUUCAUGACUGGGGUGAAGUCGUAACAAGGUAACCGUAGGGGAACCUGCGGUUGGAUCACCUCCUUACCUUAAAGAAGC